GUGGGGAAUUUUGGACAAUGGGCGCAAGCCUGAUCCAGCAAUGCCGCGUGCAGGAAGAAGGCCUUCGGGUUGUAAACUGCUUUUGUACGGAACGAAAAGGCUCUGGUUAAUACCUGGGGCUCAUGACGGUACCGUAAGAAUAAGCACCGGCUAACUACGUGCCAGCAGCCGCGGUAAUACGUAGGGUGCAAGCGUUAAUCGGAAUUACUGGGCGUAAAGCGUGCGCAGGCGGUUUUGUAAGACAGACGUGAAAUCCCCGGGCUCAACCUGGGAAUGGCGUUUGUGACUGCAAAGCUGGAGUGCGGCAGAGGGGGAUGGAAUUCCGCGUGUAGCAGUGAAAUGCGUAGAUAUGCGGAGGAACACCGAUGGCGAAGGCAAUCCCCUGGGCCUGUACUGACGCUCAUGCACGAAAGCGUGGGGAGCAAACAGGAUUAGAUACCCCGGUAGUCC
rnacentral:rRNA from 1 species